GCCGACUUUGUUUCUUCGCCGGAGAGUUGACUUUUUCCAAGUGUCUGAUCGCUAAAUACAUCCAAUACUUGAUCAGCCGGUAAGUUCAGGUCAAACCCGUGAUUAUUACUACCGUUACCGUUACUGUUACUGUUACCGUUACCACCUUCGUAAUGACACCGUUUGUGACCGCCCAAUGCUUGACCAGAAGGAAACGACUUGAAACAGAUAGAGCACUUAUGAGUCUUCCCACUUUGACCAACUAAACCGUUACUAAUAUUUCCGUUAUUAAUAACGGAACCGUUACUGUUGUUAUUACCCUCGUCGUUGCUGUUAUUAUUAUUACUAACCGGUUUCCGGUGACUGGUUUUGUGUCCACCUAACGCUUGGUAAGACGGGAAAGAUUUUCCACAGACGGAGCACUUGUAGUCUCGGUGGUGAUGAUCGGACGGUGGAGGAAGAGGAGGAGAGUGAUGAUGAUGAUCAUCAUCGGAGGAGCCACGAGCGAGCAUAAGGAGACAUAGAGCAAGAUACUCUUCUUC
rnacentral:lncRNA from 1 species